UCCGGCUUCUGAACGAGAGAUUGAAUGGUAAAGAGCUCGACGGUCUAAAUUACUACGAAUUGGAGAUACUCAGAUGUGAGAUUUCCAUAGGUUGGGGCAAUGUGAUGAGAGAGAGGCUGAGGCGCAGAGAGGAAUCAAUCUCUCGCGGAGAGAUGCUGAAGGGAGUCUCGGGACAGACUGAGCAC